GAUGAACGCUGACAGAAUGCUUAACACAUGCAAGUCUACUUGAACUUCGGUUUGGGUGGCGGACGGGUGAGUAACGCGUAAAGAACUUGCCUCACAGUUAGGGACAACAUUUGGAAACGAAUGCUAAUACCUGAUAUUAUGAUUUUAGGGCAUCCUAAGAUUAUGAAAGCUAUAUGCACUGUGAGAGAGCUUUGCGUCCCAUUAGCUAGUUGGAGAGGUAACGGCUCACCAAGGCGAUGAUUGGUAGCCGGCCUGAGAGGGUGAACGGCCACAAGGGGACUGAGACACGGCCCUUACUCCUACGGGAGGCAGCAGUGGGGAAUAUUGGACAAUGGACCAAAAGUCUGAUCCAGCAAUUCUGUGUGCACGAUGACGUUUUUCGGAAUGUAAAGUGCUUUCAGUUGGGAAGAAAAAAAUGACGGUACCAACAGAAGAAGUGACGGCUAAAUACGUG
rnacentral:rRNA from 1 species